UACGGAGGGUGCAAGCGUUAUCCGGAUUUACUGGGUUUAAAGGGUGCGUAGGUGGAUUUGUAAGUCAGUGGUGAAAUCUCCGAGCUUAACUCGGAAACUGCCAUUGAUACUAUAAGUCUUGAAUUAUCUGGAGGUGAGCGGAAUAUGUCAUGUAGCGGUGAAAUGCUUAGAUAUGACAUAGAACACCAAUUGCGAAGGCAGCUCACUACGGAUAUAUUGACACUGAGGCGCGAAAGCCAGGGGAGCGAACGGG
rnacentral:rRNA from 1 species